rnacentral:rRNA from 1 species
AGACGGGAGCUUGCUCCCUUAGGUCAGCGGCGGACGGGUGAGUAACACGUGGGUAACCUGCCUGUAAGACUGGGAUAACUCCGGGAAACCGGGGCUAAUACCGGAUGCUUGAUUGAACCGCAUGGUUCAAUCAUAAAAGGUGGCUUUUAGCUACCACUUACAGAUGGACCCGCGGCGCAUUAGCUAGUUGGUGAGGUAACGGCUCACCAAGGGGACGAUGCGUAGCCGACCUGAAAGGGUGAUCGGCCACACUGGGACUGAGACACGGCCCAGACUCCUACGGGAGGCAGCAGUAGGGAAUCUUCCGCAAUGGACGAAAGUCUGACGGAGCAACGCCGCGUGAGUGAUGAAGGUUUUCGGAUCGUAAAACUCUGUUGUUAGGGAAGAACAAGUACCGUUCGAAUAGGGCGGUACCUUGACGGUACCUAACCAGAAAGCCACGGCUAACUACCUGCCAGCAGCCGCGGUAAUACGUAGGUGGCAAGCGUUGUCCGGAAUUAUUGGGCGUAAAGCGCGCGCAGGCGGGUUCUUAAGUCUGAUGUGAAAGCCCCCGGCUCAACCGGGGAGGGUCAUUGGAAACUGGGGAACUUGAGUGCAGAAGAGGAGAGUGGAAUUCCACGUGUANCGGUGAAAUGCGUAGAGAUGUGGAGGAACACCANUGGCGAAAGCGACUCUCUGGUCUGUAACUGACGCUGAGGCGCGAAAGCGUGGGGAGCGAACAGGAUUAGAUACCCUG